AGCCUAGGCCUAAAGGCCUAGAAUUUUGCUUUUAUAUUUUUUCAUUGGCUCCUGUUUUAGAUGGCGGAUCUGCCAGGAUUCACCACCGGAGGAUUUAACUUAGAGUAGUUUACAAAAUUAGGAUGCUAGUUGCUGUGCCCAGUGAUUGAUUCUGAACUAAGUUUAUGUGGUGUUUUCCUUCACGAGCCGACUCAACUGGGUUCCAGAAGAGAAAGGUACUGCAGCAAAGCAUGGGUGGGAUUUGGGAGCGUGGGGCUGACAUGGCAACCACCCGCCGUGGGAACUUAGCGAGCCAGGGGGAGAGAUUUCAGAGCUCCGGGAUAGAGAGUCUGCAAAGAUGAGAACAGGCCGCUGGCCUGCCCGCUGGUGCCCUGCUGGUAUAACAUGGAUCGCUUUUUAAAUAUUUCACGCUACAGAUGUGCACCACAAAGGUCAUCCUCACCUAAUCUGGAUUAUUACAAAAUUGCUUUGAACUUAUGUCUGUUUCUCCAUUUCUUUUUUUCCCAAUUAUUAUUUUAUAUGUAUUAAUGAUUUGCCUGCGUGUAUGCCUGUGUACCAUAUGCACACCUGUUGCCUGCCGAGACCAAGAGAGGACAUAGCAUCCCCUGGGAACAGAGUUACAGGACCUCCUGUGUCGCUGCUUGCCUAAAUCCACCUCAGGGAAGAGUGGAUGACACUUGGCUGGUGCCGGAACUCUUUUGCCUUCCACAAGACUAUGAUCCCACAGUCUAUUUCUCCUGCUAAGCAAAUCAUGAAGCCCAAUGCAAAGCACUUAAGAGCCGGGGUUGGAGAGAUGGCUCAGCGGAAAUGAAAACUAAUGCCCUACCUACUGCUGAAGGCACCGCACACUUCAGAAAUAAGACCCAGAGACCCCUGAGGUGGAACGGACCUGAAUGUCUCCUCCAUGAAGACUAGCUUUUAUGGUUCCAGGAGAUGACAGAAGCUUCCAAAAGAGGGCAGCAACCAACAGUUCUGCCCAGCUAUGAUGCCCAUGAACCACAGCGAUGACUUAUCAUGGCAAAGUAACUGUAUGAGUAUUGGGUCAACCUGCUGCAAAGGUCUAAGUCUGACAUUACCGGAAAGCCAGAGCUCGGGGGAAAAAAAUGGUGGACUCCCUUUUUCAGCAGGGCUUCUCCUUCUCUGACCUUGUCUGGGGAGCUCAGAGCUCCCACAGCCUCUACCUUCGGAGUAUCAUGUAGCCUUGGUUAGAUUACAGGUGUAGCUCCCCCCAUCCCAUAGAAACCCUUGCAGCCAGUACCUGAGAUUCCUGGAAUGCCUCCCCAUGCUAAUGAGGUAUCUCAGGACUUUGGCCUUCAGCCAAUGACCUUUGAAUAUUGCUAUCUCCUCCCCCAAAACUAUAUAACCCUAGAUUCACCCCAAUAAAGUCCAUCUCUCUUCCAAAAGCUAAUCCUAGAAUGCUGUCAUUUCUGAUCGUAUUUACAGGCACUCUGAAACCCUCUUUGUCUACUCUGCUCCAUUUGUCCUCG